UGGGAAGUUAAAAAGUCGUAACAAGGUUUCCGUAGGUGAACCUGCGGAAGGAUCAUUACAGUAUUCUUUUUGCCAGCGCUUAAUUGCGCGGCGAAAAAACCUUACACACAGUGUUUUUUGUUAUUACAAGAACUCUUGCUUUGGUCUGGACUAGAAAUAGUUUGGGCCAGAGGUUUACUAAACUAAACUUCAAUAUUUAUAUUGAAUUGUUAUUUAUUUUAAUUGUCAAUUUGUUGAUUAAAUUCAAAAAAUCUUCAAAACUUUCAACAACGGAUCUCUUGGUUCUCGCAUCGAUGAAGAACGCAGCGAAAUGCGAUAAGUAAUAUGAAUUGCAGAUUUUCGUGAAUCAUCGAAUCUUUGAACGCACAUUGCGCCCUUUGGUAUUCCAAAGGGCAUGCCUGUUUGAGCGUCAUUUCUCUCUCAAACCUUCGGGUUUGGUAUUGAGUGAUACUCUUAGUCGAACUAGGCGUUUGCUUGAAAUGUAUUGGCAUGAGUGGUACUGGAUAGUGCUAUAUGACUUUCAAUGUAUUAGGUUUAUCCAACUCGUUGAAUAGUUUAAUGGUAUAUUUCUCGGUAUUCUAGGCUCGGCCUUACAAUAUAACAAACAAGUUUGACCUCAAAUCAGGUAGGACUACCCGCUGAACUUAAGCAUAUCAAUA
rnacentral:rRNA from 1 species